rnacentral:rRNA from 1 species
GGUUUUCGGACCUAGAGACCGGCGCACGGGUGCGUAACGCGUAUGCAAUCUACCUUUUACAGAGGGAUAGCCCAGAGAAAUUUGGAUUAAUACCUCAUAGUAUAAUGACUCGGCAUCGAGAUAUUAUUAAAGUCACAACGGUAAAAGAUGAGCAUGCGUCCCAUUAGCUUGUUGGUAAGGUAACGGCUUACCAAGGCCACGAUGGGUAGGGGUCCUGAGAGGGAGAUCCCCCACACUGGUACUGAGACACGGACCAGACUCCUACGGGAGGCAGCAGUGAGGAAUAUUGGUCAAUGGGCGCAAGCCUGAACCAGCCAUGCCGCGUGCAGGAUGAAGCAUCUAUGGUGUGUAAACUGCUUUUGUACGAGAAGAAACACUCCUACGUGUAGGAGCUUGACGGUAUCGUAAGAAUAAGGACCGGCUAACUCCGUGCCAGCAGCCGCGGUAAUACGGAGGGUCCAAGCGUUAUCCGGAAUCAUUGGGUUUAAAGGGUCCGUAGGCGGUUUAGUAAGUCAGUGGUGAAAGCCCAUCGCUCAACGGUGGAACGGCCAUUGAUACUGCUAAACUUGAAUUAUUGUGAAGUAACUAGAAUAUGUAGUGUAGCGGUGAAAUGCUUAGAGAUUACAUGGAAUACCAAUUGCGAAGGCAGGUUACUAACAAUAUAUUGACGCUGAUGGACGAAAGCGUGGGUAGCGAACAGGAUUAGAUACCCUGGUAGUCCACGCCGUANACGAUGGAUACUAGCUGUUCGGAGCAAUCUGAGUGGCUAAGCGAAAGUGAUAAGUAUCCCACCUGGGGAGUACGUUCGCAAGAAUGAAACUCAAAGGAAUUGACGGGGGCCCGCACAAGCGGUGGAGCAUGUGGUUUAAUUCGAUG